rnacentral:rRNA from 1 species
UGGGGAAUAUUGGACAAUGGGCGAAAGCCUGAUCCAGCCAUGCCGCGUGUGUGAAGAAGGUCUUCGGAUUGUAAAGCACUUUAAGUUGGGAGGAAGGGCAUUAACCUAAUACGUUAGUGUUUUGACGUUACCGACAGAAUAAGCACCAGCUAACUCUGUGCCAGCAGCCGCGGUAAUACAGAGGGUGCAAGCGUUAAUCGGAAUUACUGGGCGUAAAGCGCGCGUAGGUGGUUUGUUAAGUUGGAUGUGAAAUCCCCGGGCUCAACCUGGGAACUGCAUUCAAAACUGACUGACUAGAGUAUGGUAGAGGGUGGUGGAAUUUCCUGUGUAGCGGUGAAAUGCGUAGAUAUAGGAAGGAACACCAGUGGCGAAGGCGACCACCUGGACUAAUACUGACACUGAGGUGCGAAAGCGUGGGGAGCAAACA